UGAGGAAAGCGAUGAGAUGCGAACGAGCGCAGUUGGUUCAAAAGCGAUUCUUGUCAUCAUUCGAGGAAUUGAUCAUGAUGGACACGUGGUAAUAAUCCACAGGGGUAGGAGCUUUUCGUGGAACGCCAGGGGUGCAAUUUCGACCGUCAGAUAUUUAAUCACGACGGGCGCGAUGAUGAACGCAGAAUAUGAUUGGAAUUGGGGUAAGAUAGUCUUUACAUGAUUGCCAUAGGGGAUAGACAUGGACCCACAAAACUUUUUUAAAAAAAUGAAAAUUUUCAGCAAAAGACGAUAAAUAUUUAGAAAAUGUUUAGACACACGAAGUCCGACUCUGUUUGUCACAAUUCUUUUUUUUUUUUUGCUACUUUUGCAAUGCUCCCUAAAAUAUUCUCUUUGUAAAAUUCAUUCUUAAUUUUGGAUGAAAUGUAUUUGUGUUUAAGGUUAGAUUAUGUCCAUUGGAUAUUGGAAGUUUCAAUAACAAAAUUAAAAGUUAACUUACUAUCAUUUAGAAGUAUUUAGAACUUUCGAUCAUUCAGAAGUAUUUAGCAAAUGUCUGUUUUGAAACUUUAUAGACCAAAUAAAUUUGAACUUCAAACCACAAGGACAAAAAAAAUGCAUUUUAUCCUCUAAUUUAAUUACAAAUAAGAUGUGAGAAUUUGGAUUUGAGAUCGAUCUCGGAUUCAAACAUGUGUCAGCUGAAUUAAACUUUUGAUGGCCACGGAAAUUCAUUCUACUUAUUACAUAAAAAAAGUUUUUAAAAAUAAUAAUAAAUUAUAAAAAAGAAAACGCCAAAAAUUCACUUCACAUACUUUUUAUGUAAAUAUUUUUGACAAUUUUCCGAAACAAAGAAACCAAUUAUGUAUUUUGCUUUAGAUUUUCAAAACUUAGUAGUUGUGAACCAUGGAGGGUGUUAUAGACUUUUUGUGUGAUUUUGGGCUUGGUAUUGUUCGUUAAAACAUAGGCAACAAGAUCAAGAAAAUAGCAAGCAACCACACCCGAAAGAGCCACGGAAGAGUUGGCCCAAGUGACACACUUGGACUCAACUAGGGAUGGGGCUGACAGAAAUGGCUGAUGGAGGUGACCCUUGUAAGCUUGGGCCCAAGAUGAGUGAAGGGAUAUCCAAAAUGGUUUGGAAUUUGGUUCCUUCUAUCUCACUUUUUAUAUUUAUGGAAUAACUUUUUUUCUUUCUUUCUUUUAUCUACUUUUCACAUGUUUAUAACUCUACGCUUUAAACGCAAAUAUACUAAUUUCAAUUAUUAUUAAAAAAUUAUCAUAUAUAUAUACACAUAUACAUAUGAAUAUACAUGCGUGUAUGUAUUGAAUACUAUCAUAUAUAUAUAUACACAUAUACAUAUGAAUAUACAUGCGUGUAUGUAUUGAAUACACUCUCAGCUAGAACAGUACACUUAAUACAUAAUAUUUAGAUUCAAACAUGUGUAAAGUGGACUAACAAGACAUAAAUAUGGAAAUAACUAGAAAAAAAAGAAAAAACCUCAAAACCUUUCGAGAUUCGAGGCAUACUUAA
rnacentral:lncRNA from 1 species